AUUGAACGCUGGCGGCAGGCCUAACACAUGCAAGUCGAACGAGUGGCGGACGGGUGAGUAAUGUCUGGGAAACUGCCUGAUGGAGGGGGAUAACUACUGGAAACGGUAGCUAAUACCGCAUACUGAUGGAUGGACCCGCGGUGCAUUAGCUAGUUGGUGAGGUAACGGCUCACCAAGGCCACGAUGCAUAGCCGACCUGAGAGGGUGAUCGGCCACACUGGAACUGAGACACGGUCCAGACUCCUACGGGAGGCAGCAGUGGGGAAUAUUGGACAAUGGGCGAAAGCCUGAUCCAGCCAUGCCGCGUGUGUGAAGAAGGUCUUCGGAUUGUAAGGCACUUUAAGUUGGGAGGCGUUACCAACAGAAUAAGCACCGGCUAACUUCGUGCCAGCAGCCGCGGUAAUUC
rnacentral:rRNA from 1 species